rfam:Fukomys damarensis contig149784, whole genome shotgun sequence.
GUCUAUGGCCGUACCACCCUGAACGCGCCCGAUCUCGUCUGAUCUCGGAGGCUAAGCAGGGGCGCACUUGGGUAGUACUUGGAUGGGAGAAUUUUGUACAUACUAGGUAGAAGAUGUCU